AGACGGGGGCCCGCACAAGCGGUGGAGCAUGUGGUUUUAAUUCGAAGCAACGCGCAGAACCUUACCAGCCCUUGACAUACCGGUCGCGGACACAGAGAUGUGUCUUUCAGGUUCGGCUGGACCGGAUACGAGGUGCUGCAUGGCUGUCGUCAGCUCGUGUCGUGAGAUGGUUGGGUUAAGUCCCGCAACGAGCGCAACCCUCGCCCUUAGUUGCCAGCAUUUAGUUGGGCACUCUAAGGGGACUGCCGGUGAUAAGCCGAGAGGAAGGUGGGGAUGACGUCAAGUCCUCAUGGCCCUUACGGGCUGGGCUACACACGUGCUACAAUGGUGGUGACAGUGGGCAGCGAGCACGCGAGUGUGAGCUAAUCUCCAAAAGCCAUCUCAGUUCGGAUUGCACUCUGCAACUCGACUUCAUGAAGCUGGAAUCGCUAGUAAUCGCAGAUCAGCCAAGCUGCGGUGAAUACGUUCCCGGGCCUU
rnacentral:rRNA from 1 species